UGGCUCAGAUUGAACGCUGGCGGCAGGCCUAACACAUGCAAGUCGAGCGGUAGCACAAGAGAGCUUGCUCUCUGGGUGACGAGCGGCGGACGGGUGAGUAAUGUCUGGGAAACUGCCUGAUGGCGGGGGAUAACUAGUGGAAACGGUAGCUAAUACCGCAUAACGUCGCAAGACCAAAGUGGGGGACCUUCGGGCCUCACGCCAUCAGAUGUGCCCAGGUGGGAUUAGCUGGUAGGUGGGGUAACGGCUCACCUAGGCGACGAUCCCUAGCUGGUCUGAGAGGAUGACCAGCCACACUGGAACUGAGACACGGUCCAGACUCCUACGGGAGGCAGCAGUGGGGAAUAUUGCACAAUGGGCGCAAGCCUGAUGCAGCCAUGCCGCGUGUGUGAAGAAGGCCUUCGGGUUGUAAAGCACUUUCAGCGAGGAGGAAGGGUAAUGUGUUAAUAGGACAUUGC
rnacentral:rRNA from 1 species